UAAGGAAUAUUGGGCAAUGGACGAAAGUCUGACCCAGCCAUGCCGCGUGGAGGAUGAAGGUCCUCUGGAUUGUAAACUUCUUUUUUCUGGGGCGAAAACCGGUUUUUCUAAACCAUUUGACAGUACCAGAAGAAUAAGCACCGGCUAACUCCGUGCCAGCAGCCGCGGUAAUACGGAGGGUGCAAGCGUUAUCCGGAUUCACUGGGUUUAAAGGGUGCGUAGGUGGGCAGGUAAGUCCGCGGUGAAAUCCCCGAGCUUAACUUGGGAACUGCCGUUGAUACUAUCUGUCUUGAAUAUCGUGGAGGUAAGCGGAAUAUGUCAUGUAGCGGUGAAAUGCUUAGAGAUGACAUAGAACACCAAUUGCGAAGGCAGCUUGCUACACGAUAAUUGACACUGAGGCACGAAAGCGUGGGGAGCAAACAGG
rnacentral:rRNA from 1 species